CGUGUCCUCUUCCGAUCUUGAGUAACUAGACUCCACCGUGGGAUAGACGAAAGGGAUAAAUCCGAGCCACCGUUGCGGGAAUCACCAAUGCUGAAACUACUAUUGUAAGCGUAUCUUUUAAGCAGAAUUGAAAAAAAAA